rnacentral:sRNA from 1 species
UUUUAAGAUUAAUUUGCGAUUCUAGUUCUUAUAGUCAAUUAUACACAUGACAUCUAGUCAUAUUUGACUCCAAAACACUAACCAAGCUUCUUCUUACUUCUCAAAGCUUUGAUGGUGUAGCCCAAGUCCGUAUGAGUCUUUGGCUUUGUAUCUUCUAACAAGGAAACACUACUUAGGCUUUUAAGAUUCGGUUGCGGUUCUAGUUCUUAUACUCAAUCAUACAAAUGACAUCUAGUCAUAUUUGACUCCAAAAUACUAACCAAGCUUCUUCUUGCCUCU